UUAAAUGUGUGGAACCCA
rnacentral:piRNA from 1 species